UGGACAGAUUAUUGUAUUCGACUGUAUUCACAGCGUGAAACAGGGGAUUACACUGUUUUUAAACGAAAAGUGAAUCAAUUGACAUAAUAGACUCAU
rnacentral:pre_miRNA from 1 species